CCAUGUUUCUGAGACCCUCUCCAGCAUCUGCACUUCUCUAUCCAUGGACACCUGUGCAUCUGCUUGGCCCCUUAGUCCACUGAAAGCAGCUGCUCAGGGUGACUAUUGCAAACUUCCUAAAGCAAAAUAUUGGACAGUCUGUGCCAGAGAUCCUUGAGAUGAGAGUGCAGCGCUGGAAAUGGUUACAUCCCGACACGUGGGACAGAAGCAAGGUCAAAUUGUGUAUUCCACGGACCAGCAAAUACCAGCCAGUUUAGUGAGCAGAGCGGCGGACACCCCUGCUGAAAUCCGGAGGAAAACACACAGAGGAUGCAGAGGGGGAUCACAAAGCCGAGGAAAGAGGACCAGGUUGAGACAACAGAGACUUUUGGAGAAGAGGAGUUCGGUGGGUAAUACCGUUCCGGCUGACCGGAAGUGCACUGAGAGCAGUAAGCGUAAAGGAGUUGGGUGCUUACUGAUCUGGUUAACAACAGAUGGUGCAAUCCGGGUCAUAUUACGAUCGAGAAACGUGUUUGUAGACCGGAUAUUGAACUGUUUACUGUUGGACUUCGGCCAUAUUCCACCGAGAUACAACACUGGGUGGCACGGGAGGUCGUUCCUGCCUGUGGCCAUCGAACUUGCAGCUCCUCCCGUGGAGGGCCAAACACCCUGAGCCAAUAGACUGGUCCUGGACUUAUUUUCCAUCUGGCAUAGUUUGCAUUUUGUUGUUUGAUUGUUGGGGGUUUUUGUAUUGCUAUAUUUACACUCUAUUCUUGGUUGGUGCGGCUGUAAUGAAACCAAAUUUCCCUCGGG